UAGCGGAGGAAAAGAAACCAACAGGGAUUGCCUCAGUAGCGGCGAGUGAAGCGGCAAGAGCUCAGAUUUGAAAUCGCCUCGGCGAGUUGUAAAUUGCAGGUUGGAGUCUUUGUGGCGGCGUGUGUCUAAGUCCCUUGGAACAGGGCGCCAUUGAGGGUGAGAGCCCCGUGCGGCACGCGUCUAAGCUUUAAGACCCUUCUGACGAGUCGAGUUGUUUGGGAAUGCAGCUCUAAGUGGGUGGUAAAUUCCAUCUAAGGCUAAAUACUGGCGAGAGACCGAUAGCGAACAAGUACUGUGAAGGAAAGAUGAAAAGCACUUUGAAAAGAGAGUGAAACAGCACGUGAAAUUGUUGAAAGGGAAGGGUAUUGGGCUCGACAUGGGGACUGCGCACCGUUGCUUCUUGUAGGCGGCGCUCUGUGCGGUUUCUGGGCCAGCAUCAGUUUUUGCCGCGGGAGAAUGGGGGGAGGAACGUGGCUCUUCGGAGUGUUAUAGCCUCUCUCAGAUGCCGCGAGCGGGGACUGAGGUCUGCGAUUCGUUCAAGGAUGCUCGGCACAACGGCGCAAUACCGCCCGUCUUGAAACACGGACC
rnacentral:rRNA from 1 species